UUAUUUUCAAGAACACUGGCCUGACAUCACUGUUUCCAGCAUGGGAAACCAGAGGGAACCCAACAUGAAGACGCGGGAGAAGAUGGCGACUUAGAUGCCAGGAGAGGGGCCCUGGGACGGGUCCUUCCUUGCAGCCUCAGAAGGAGCCAGCCCUGCCCGCACCUUGAUCUGGGACUUCUGGCCUCCAGAACUGUGGGAGGAUGCACAUCUGCCAGUCCAGCCCCCAUCUGUGUGCUCUGUCGUGGGAGCAUGGGAAACCAGCAGGAGCACUUCUCAGCUUACAGUGCAGGUCCGUCCUGAUGAACCCGGGGCAAGCUCGUGACAUCACUAAGUUGAGACUUCACUGACUUCACCUAACCUAGCGACCAUCACAGCUCAGCCCAGCCUACCGGAAACAUGCUCAGAACACCUACGCCAGCCUACAGCUGGGCACACACAUCUAACGCAAAGCCUGUUUUAUAAUACAAUGUUGACCGUCUCACGUAAGAGUACUGUACCGCAGAUUGCUAGCUCAGAGAAAGAUCGAAAUUCAAAAUUCAAAGUAUGGUUUCUACUGAAUGCAUAUUGUUUUUGCAACAUUAUAAAAUCAAAAAACGAU
rnacentral:lncRNA from 1 species